GGUUAAGUGACUAAGCGUACACGGUGGAUGCCUUGGCAGUCAGAGGCGAUGAAAGACGUAGUAACUUGCGAUAAGCCCAGAUUAGGUAGUAACAACCAUUUGAGUCUGGGAUUUCUGAAUGGGGAAACCCACUUACAUAAGUAAGUAUCAUUAACUGAAUACAUAGGUUAAUGAGGCGAACCGGGGAACUGAAACAUCUAAGUACCCCGAGGAAAAGAAAUCAACCGAGAUUCCGAAAGUAGCGGCGAGCGAAAUUGGACUAGCCCUUAAGCUUUACACGCGUUAGACGAACGGUCUGGAAAGUCCGACGAUACAGGGUGAUAGUCCCGUAGUUGACGACGUGUGUUCAGUGAAAUCGAGUAGGGCGGGACACGUGAUAUCCUGUCUGAAUAUGGGGGACCAUCCUCCAAGGCUAAAUACUACUGACUGACCGAUAGUGAACCAGUACCGUGAGGGAAAGGCGAAAAGAACCCCUGUGAGGGGAGUGAAAUAGAACCUGAAACCGUGUACGUACAAGCAGUAGGAGCACCUUCGUGGUGUGACUGCGUACCUUUUGUAUAAUGGGUCAGCGACUUAUAUUCAGUGGCAAGGUUAACCAUCUAGGGGAGCCGUAGGGAAACCGAGUCUUAACUGGGCGUUCAGUCUCUGGAUAUAGACCCGAAACCAGGUGAUCUAGCCAUGGGCAGGUUGAAGGUUGAGUAACAUCAACUGGAGGACCGAACCGACUAAUGUUGAAAAAUUAGCGGAUGACUUGUGGCUAGGGGUGAAAGGCCAAUCAAACCUGGAGAUAGCUGGUUCUCCCCGAAAGCUAUUUAGGUAGCGCCUCGGACGAAUACUACUGGGGGUAGAGCACUGUUAAGGCUAGGGGUCAUCCCGACUUACCAACCCUUUGCAAACUCCGAAUACCAGUAAGUACUAUCCGGGAGACACACGGCGGGUGCUAACGUCCGUCGUGGAGAGGGAAACAACCCAGACCGCCAGCUAAGGUCCCAAAUUACUACUAAGUGGGAAACGAUGUGGGAAGGCUCAGACAGCCAGGAUGUUGGCUUAGAAGCAGCCAUCAUUUAAAGAAAGCGUAAUAGCUCACUGGUCGAGUCGGCCUGCGCGGAAGAUGUAACGGGGCUAAGUAGUAAACCGAAGCUGCGGCAAUGUGCUUUUGCACAUUGGGUAGGGGAGCGUUCUGUAAGCGGUUGAAGGUGUGUGGUAACGCAUGCUGGACGUAUCAGAAGUGCGAAUGCUGACAUGAGUAACGAUAAAGGGGGUGAAAAACCUCCUCGCCGGAAGACCAAGGGUUCCUGUCCAACGUUAAUCGGGGCAGGGUAAGUCGACCCCUAAGGCGAGGCCGAAAGGCGUAGUCGAUGGGAAACGGGUUAAUAUUCCCGUACUUCUUACAAUUGCGAUGGGGGGACGGAGAAGGCUAGGUGGGCCUGGCGACGGUUGUCCAGGUUCAAGUGCGUAGGCUUAAGAGUUAGGUAAAUCCGGCUCUUUUUAAGGCUGAGACACGACGUCGAGCACCUACGGGUGUGAAGUCAUUGAUGCCAUGCUUCCAGGAAAAGCCUCUAAGCUUCAGAUUGUAAGGAAUCGUACCCCAAACCGACACAGGUGGUCGGGUAGAGAAUACCAAGGCGCUUGAGAGAACUCGGGUGAAGGAACUAGGCAAAAUGGUACCGUAACUUCGGGAGAAGGUACGCUCUUGAUGGUGAAGUCCCUCGCGGAUGGAGCUGACGAGAGUCGCAGAUACCAGGUGGCUGCAACUGUUUAUUAAAAACACAGCACUGUGCAAAAUCGUAAGAUGACGUAUACGGUGUGACGCCUGCCCGGUGCCGGAAGGUUAAUUGAUGGGGUUAGACUUCGGUCGAAGCUCUUGAUCGAAGCCCCGGUAAACGGCGGCCGUAACUAUAACGGUCCUAAGGUAGCGAAAUUCCUUGUCGGGUAAGUUCCGACCUGCACGAAUGGCGUAAUGAUGGCCACGCUGUCUCCACCCGAGACUCAGUGAAAUUGAAAUCGCUGUGAAGAUGCAGUGUACCCGCGGCUAGACGGAAAGACCCCGUGAACCUUUACUACAGCUUGGCACUGAACAUUGACCCUACAUGUGUAGGAUAGGUGGGAGGCUUUGAAGCACGUACGCCAGUAUGUGUGGAGCCGUCCUUGAAAUACCACCCUUGUAGUGUUGAUGUUCUAACGUCGACCCCUAAUCGGGGUUGCGGACAGUGCCUGGUGGGUAGUUUGACUGGGGCGGUCUCCUCCCAAAGAGUAACGGAGGAGCACGAAGGUGGGCUAAUCACGGUUGGACAUCGUGAGGUUAGUGCAAUGGCAUAAGCCCGCUUGACUGCGAGAAUGACAAUUCGAGCAGGUGCGAAAGCAGGUCAUAGUGAUCCGGUGGUUCUGAAUGGAAGGGCCAUCGCUCAACGGAUAAAAGGUACUCCGGGGAUAACAGGCUGAUACCGCCCAAGAGUUCAUAUCGACGGCGGUGUUUGGCACCUCGAUGUCGGCUCAUCACAUCCUGGGGCUGAAGUCGGUCCCAAGGGUAUGGCUGUUCGCCAUUUAAAGUGGUACGCGAGCUGGGUUUAGAACGUCGUGAGACAGUUCGGUCCCUAUCUGCCGUGGGCGUUGGAAGAUUGAAGGGGCUGCUCCUAGUACGAGAGGACCGGAGUGGACGAACCUCUGGUGUUCGGGUUGUGUCGCCAGACGCAUUGCCCGGUAGCUAAGUUCGGAAUCGAUAACCGCUGAAAGCAUCUAAGCGGGAAGCGAGCCCUGAGAUGAGUCUUCCCUGAUACUUUAAGUAUCCUAAAGGGUUGUCGGAGACUACGACGUUGAUAGGUCAGGUGUGUAAGUGCUGUGAGGCAUUGAGCUAACUGAUACUAAUUGCCCGUGAGGCUUAACCAU
rnacentral:rRNA from 1 species